AAACAUCAAGCACAUAAUGCAUGCCGAUUUCGGCUCGGUAAGAGCGGCCAUCCGCGGUGUUUU
rnacentral:tRNA from 2 species